rnacentral:rRNA from 1 species
GGGGAUCGAAAGACCUUAUGCUUUUGGAGCGGCCGAUGUCUGAUUAGCUAGUUGGUAAGGUAAUGGCUUACCAAGGCAACGAUCAGUAGUUGGUCUGAGAGGACGACCAGCCACACUGGGACUGAGACACGGCCCAGACUCCUACGGGAGGCAGCAGUGGGGAAUUUUGGACAAUGGGCGCAAGCCUGAUCCAGCAAUGCCGCGUGAGUGAAGAAGGCCUUCGGGUUGUAAAGCUCUUUCAGUUGAGAAGAAAAGAUUGUGACUAAUAAUUGCAAUUCAUGACGGUAUCAACAGAAGAAGCACCGGCUAACUACGUGCCAGCAGCCGCGGUAAUACGUAGGGUGCGAGCGUUAAUCGGAAUUA